rnacentral:sRNA from 2 species
UGUUUGCACUUAGCGGGAAGGGUAAGAACCUUCGACUAAGGUUCGACUCGAGCGCCAGCGAGAGAACGUUGCCGCAGGCAACGGCCCGAAGGGCGAGGAGCGAUAGCGACGAGUUAUCCUUCCCACACCACCA